GUGCCCUUGGCAAGCAUCAGAACCCUGAAAAUCGAAAUUAAAAAUUAAAAAAAAAAAACCCUUAAAUCCCACAAUCGUAACUUUUAAAAAUAAGAAACCAGAUAGCAUUUCAAACAUAUCAUACCAAAAAAUCAGAUUUGCUUAUAGUUGGAUAAACAAAAUUAGAUCUAGUGCACAUUGAAAGGAAAAGAGUUCCAAGGACUAGAGAUGGAUGCAGAGGGGGCUUUAACUCUUCAAUUAGCUUUUCAAUUGCCAAAUUAUUUUUAUACUUUAUUUUUCAAUAGUGAACUCUUGAGAAAGUCUCAGCUCAGGCGAAAGGAAAAUACGCCAAAGAAAGCUUCUCAUUCUUCAAAUGAAUUUACAUAUCCACAUCAAACACCAAUGUAUUUAAUCCAAUCACCCUUCUUUUCAAAAUUCUAGAAUUAAAAAAAAUUUAGGUGAUUGCACAACCAUUGCGAAUGGUGAAAUUGAGAUCUGAAAAGGAACAGCUCAACAACAUCCCCCACCCCCAAACCCCA
rnacentral:misc_RNA from 1 species